ensembl:lncRNA
CUCAAUAGCACAGUGUCUAGGUUGUAGUUUAUCUGAAGAUUCUGAUUUUUAAGAUUUUGUCUUCGUAAGUCUUACAAACGAGUCAGUCUACAACUUUUACUCAGUCACUCAAACAGCAUCAGAACAUUUUGCUUUAAGAAAAAGUCGGAAGUUCAGAUAUCAAAAUCUAUCUAUCUAUCUAUGAUAUACGGUUUUUUGAUAACUUUGUCAUCGAAAUCAUUUCUUGCAAACGAGUCCAUCAGGUACAAACCACAUCUAUCGACUACAUCAGCUCAUACUCCAUAUUCAUUUUUCAAAGUUUACUUUCAGAGGAAUGAUUUGCCACGGAGUUAGUAUCAGAAUUCCAGCUUUCGAAAGGCCUGAUGUGGCGAGAAGAGAUCGUAAGGAAAAGUUGACACUACCAAAAAGUGUCAACAGAGGGCCACAGGCCUCCACUGCGCCCCCUACUGGACCUUCUUUCCAGAAUCUGCAUCAACCCAGAGUGGCUCUUCCUUUUUUGGCCAAAUUCCGACCAUCCAGACAUCUAACAUCUUGUCUAAGCAAAACAGAGUUGACACUACCAAAACUGACCAUAGAAAGCCCUGUAGAAAAAUCUCAGACCUCCUAUGUGCAUCCUACCUGGCCUUCUGUCCCAGGACUGGAUCCAUCCACAGUGGCUCGUCCUCUGUAUAAAUUCCCUCCAUCCAGACCGCGCACCUUGAACCCAAGCAAUUUGAAGAGGUCUCUUAGACCUGAGUACUCAGGCAAGGACAUUAUUGAGCCAUUUGAUGGCAACAGCCCUGGAUACCCCAUCGUGGGAGAAAGAAUAUAAUGCAUAAUAAAAAAUGCAGGA